UAAGAUCAGAAAGAGGAGGGUCUGCGCGUGCGACUCCACCCUCCGGGUUUAAAUGGUAAAGCGAGGUAUUAUACCAGGGUAAUUUGGACUGUUAGUCAUUGGAGUAGGCUACCCUGUCAACCGCAGGACGCUCCAAACCAUAACUUUCCGAAUCCAAAUCCCCCCUGCUGAUUCGAAUUCAUCAAAUUUUACGGACUUAUAAGUCUCUACCCAGGCUGGACUGCUUCCUAUCAGCAAACUGCCACCCUGUCAACCCCCUACUCAGACAGCUGUCGUCAGUGUACGCUGGCUGAGAACAAAGGUGAACACGCAUUGACACAACAAGAUGAAGAGCGAGACAGAGAGGGGGGGGGGAGAGAGGAGAGAAGGGGGUGAGGAACCACUGACCAUGCGUUGACACGACAAGAAGGGAAGGAAGGUGCUGAAAUGUUAAGGAUUAGGGAUAAGAGUGAAAGAUGGAUAUACAAAUAGUAGAGAGAGGGGUCUAAGUUGUUUGAGAGGUGCAGAAAAGUUCAAGGGAGUGAUGACACUUGUCUUGCUGCAUCUACAGUAACAGCACUGGAGGGGAGUGUCAGGAAAAGUCCACUUAUCCUCAGUCAGUAAAGGAAAUAGUUCAUACUGAAUCAGCUGUAAUGUCUCCUCUUCAUACACAACCUUGCACUACUGUGUUAGAGCUGCAUGGUGUUGUGUACUAGUACGGCCCCAGUUUAUUCUGUGCUGUGCUCUACAACCAUUGCAAAUAAGGAACAGGAUAGAGGACAAUGUCCUUUUUCCUAAAAAUGGUGUUUCACUCUGGCUAAGUGGAUAUUUAUGCUUUUGUGGGUAGUUUGGCUCUGGCAGGUCCCAGGGAACGCAGUGACAAUCUUUCCUAGGAGGACUUGUGACUUGUUUGCAUAGUUCCCAUUUUCAGUCCUAGAAAAGGCAUGCCAGUCUGUAACUGUGACUGGGCUGGAUAGGAAUGAUGGGUGCAGGGACUCCAUGAUGUAGUGCAAUGGAUUAUAGUCUGAAUCUUAUCGAGCAAGAGUAGUUUGAUUUACCAGCACAAAGGUCAACAUUUAUCAUUAUGUCUUAUGUCUGCAUAGUCUGAUUGGACUUUAAAAGAUCAUGUGUGUCAGAAUCAUUUAGACACUAGUACUAUAAACUGGAUCCAUUGCAGUGGAGGCUGCUUCCAUUGAUUUCAUUCCAGCCGUUAUUAUGAGCCGUCCUCCCCUCAGCAGCCUCCACUGACCUAUUAGGGUGUUAAACAAGUUAUUACCAAGAUUCCAGUAAUGCAUUCAUAACAGCACUGAAUGAUAAAAUACUAGCACUGAGUUUGCCAUAGAACUGUGCACCUGCCGUGGCUCCAUUUCCUACAGGUAUGACUCAGAGCCCAGCAGCUAGCUAGCUAGCAUCGCUCCCACCACCACACUACACUGUACAGCCACAGAGAAGAACAGCACA
rnacentral:lncRNA from 8 species